GAUGAACGCUGGCGGCGUGCCUAAUACAUGCAAGUCGAGCGAAGCGGGGACGGUUGAGUAACACGCGUAUAACCUCCUAUAAGACUGGGAUAAAUUCGGGAAACCGGAGCUAAACCGGAUAUUUAUACAUGGAUCCGCGCUGAGUUAGCGAGUUGGUAAGGUAUCGGCCUACCAAGCGAACGAUGCAUAGCCGACCUGAGAGGGUGAGCGGCCACACUGGAACGUAGACCCGUUCAAGACUCUUCCGGGAGUCAGCGUUAGGGAAUUUUCCGCAAUGGGCGAAAGCCUUACGGAGCAACGCGGCGUAAUUGAUGAAGGUCUUCGGAUCGUAAAACUCUUUUAUUAGGGAAGCGGUACCUAAUCAGAAAGCCACGGCUAACUACGUGCCAGCAGCCGCGGUAAUAC
rnacentral:rRNA from 1 species